AUUGAACGCUGGCGGCAGGCUUAACACAUGCAAGUCGAGCGGAGAUGAGGUGCUUGCACCUUAUCUUAGCGGCGGACGGGUGAGUAAUGCUUAGGAAUCUGCCUAUUAGUGGGGGACAACAUUCCGAAAGGAAUGCUAAUACCGCAUACGCCCUACGGGGGAAAGCAGGGGAACUUCGGACCUUGCGCUAAUAGAUGAGCCUAAGUCGGAUUAGCUGGUUGGUGGGGUAAAGGCCUACCAAGGCGACGAUCUGUAGCGGGUAUGAGAGGAUGAUCCGCCACACUGGGACAGAGACACGGCCCAGACUCCUACGGGAGGCAGCAGUGGGGAAUAUUGGACAAUGGGCGGAAGCCUGAUCCAGCCAUGCCGCGUGUGUGAAGAAGGCCUUUUGGUUGUAAAGCACUUUAAGCGAGGAGGAGGCUACCUGGAUUAAUACUCUAGGAUAGUGGACGUUACUCGCAGAAUAAGCACCGGCUAACUCUGUGCCAGCCGCCGCAGUAAGAC
rnacentral:rRNA from 1 species